rnacentral:lncRNA from 1 species
GUUGAAGAUAUAGCUAUUAGCUAUACCAAUCAUAGCUAUUAUGAGGCAUUUCUAUUGGCAGUUUGGCAUACUAAAGCAGUUAUUAUUAUUUAAUCAGUUGAUAUUAUUAUUAUUAUUAUGUAAUCAGUUGAUAUUAUUAUUCUAGGUUUAGAGGUUGAAGAUAUAGCUAUUAGCUAUACCAAUCAUAGCUAUUAUUGGCAGUUUGGCAUAAUAAGGCAAGUCAGCUUAUGAAAAUGAAUGAAAACAGUUGAAAUGACUAUGGAUCACGUAACAAGAAAAAAUAAUAAACUAAUAAUUUCCUCUUCCCCCAAUGAGUAGUAUUUACAAUAAAUAUCAGUGAUAACUAUAAA